rnacentral:rRNA from 1 species
AUUGAACGCUGGCGGCAUGCCUUACACAUGCAAGUCGAACGGCAGCACGGGAGCAAUUCUGGUGGCGAGUGGCGAACGGGUGAGUAAUAUAUCGGAACGUGCCCAGUCGUGGGGAUAACGUAGCGAAAGCUACGCUAAUACCGCAUACGAUCUAUGGAUGAAAGCGGGGGAUCGCAAGACCUCGCGCGAUUGGAGCGGCCGAUAUCAGAUUAGGUAGUUGGUGAGGUAAAGGCUCACCAAGCCGACGAUCUGUAGCUGGUCUGAGAGGACGACCAGCCACACUGGGACUGAGACACGGCCCAGACUCCUACGGAGGCAGCAGUGGGGAAUUUUGGGACAAUGGGCGCAAGCCUGAUCCAGCAAUGCCGCGUGCAGGAUGAAGGCCUUCGGGUUGUAACUGC